AGGCACCAUAAGCCACCCAAGCUCCCGGGUGAUUCCAGUGAACUGUCUGGCUUUAGAAGCUCACUCAUAGACCUGCUCAGCUCACCCUGUUACCUGGAGACUGGGGACCAGAGAGGCUGCGGCUGACCAAGGUGACUCGGCCAGGGAGCGAAGGUUUAAGGCCUGGGCCAGGGAGCUCUCCUGCGCAGGUGCUCUUCCAGCUGCAGCAUUGCCCAGAUGGCCAUGUGGAUUCAUCAAGGUUUGCAAAAUGUCCAGCACAGCCUCCUGACCUCCUCUUCAACUCCUGAGGUCUUUGUUCAGAAGGAACAACCAAAGAAAGACCAGCACUCACUGGAGAACUAAGUCUAGGCAAGGGCAAAUGGCUUGCCCAAGGGAAUGCUUCAUGCUGGCAACAGAGCCCCUGGAUUACCAGGCUCCCCAAUGC
ensembl:lncRNA